rnacentral:lncRNA from 1 species
CAGGUCAGCUUGCCGCCCCGUUGCAGUCAUCUAUGGUUACACCUCUCUUUGGGCCUUAGUUUUCCCAUUUGUACAAUGGGGAGGUGGGACUUAGUAAUCUAAAAGCCAGCCUGAUUCUAACCUCUCUUCCAAGCCUAUCUCAUCCUGCUCCCAACUCACCUUCUGGAUGUGCCUGCCCUGCUGGGCCCCCUGAAUGUCAGAUAAGUGCCACCCUGGUUGCAGGGUGGAAUUGGGCCUCUGGACCUCCUGGCAGACCAGGAUCUCUAUGACCACUAGGACCUUAGGUCUACUCUGGCCAUGAAGGGCCCCAGGACCACCCUAGAUGCCCAGGAGUUUCUGGGCUGCCAGGAACCCUGUGGACACUGGGCCUUUCAGGGUUGCCCAGCCCAGACAAGCUCCUGGGAAUCCAUGGAGCUCAAGAACCAGUGAAGCCUCUGGGCCAGGGUCUCCUCAAGGACAACCAGGCCAGCCAGGUCUACAGGAUAGAAGAGAGAGCAAGGCUUGCAUAGUGGGAGAGGCUUGGAGGGGCCUCCUGGAGCCUCUAGUCCACCUGGAAAGGUGAUCUAUGCUCAGGUGGGUCUCCCUGAGAGAACAGAAGAGGCCCGUGUCCUCAGGCCAAGGCUCCCUUUCUUUAUGGCUGCCCUUUCCUCUUUCUCUUUUACCUCCUUGUGAUGGUUAGUACUGAGUGUCAACUUGAUUGGAUUGAAAGGUGCAAAGUAUUGAUCCUGGGUGUGUCUGUGAGGGUAUUUCCAAAGGAGAUUAACGUUUGAGUCAGUGGGCUGGGAAAGGCAGACCCACCCUUAAUCUGGCUGGACACAAUCUAAUCAGCUGCCAGCACAGCUAGGAUAAAAGCAGGCAGAAGAAUGUGAAAAUACUAGACUGGCUUAGCCUCCCAGCCUACAUCUUUCUCCCAUGCUGGAUGUUUCCUGCACUCGAACAUCAGACUCCAAGUUCUUCACCUUUGGGAUUCGAACUGGCUUCCUUGCUCCUCAGCUUGCAGAUGGACUAUUGUGGGACCUUGUGAUCAUGUGAGUU